rnacentral:rRNA from 1 species
AAUGACGGUACUUGAGGAGGAAGCCCCGGCUAACUACGUGCCAGCAGCCGCGGUAAUACGUAGGGGGCUAGCGUUAUCCGGAUUUACUGGGCGUACAGGGUGCGUAGGCGGUCUUUCAAGUCAGGAGUGAAAGGCUACGGCUCAACCGUAGUAAGCUCUUGAAACUGGGAGACUGGAGUGCAGGAGAGGAGAGUGGAAUUCCUAGUGUAGCGGUGAAAUGCGUAGAUAUUAGGAGGAACACCAGUUGCGAAGGCGGCUCUCUGGACUGUAACUGACGCUGAGGCACGAAAGCGUGGGGAGCAAACAGGAUUAGAUACCCUGGUAGUCCACGCUGUAAACGAUGAGUACUAGGUGUCGGGGGUUACCCCC